UGCAGAUAUUUCAGUGUGAUGUGCCUUUUCCUUUGUUCCCAUUUUUUAGGAGUCAUUUAAAAAAAAGCAACCCUUGUAGUGCAGUCUGCUGCAGUCACUAGGCUGGUUGUAUAACGGAGCUUCACCUCAGCUGAACUUCAUGCAUCUGGUUCAUCGGCGACGAAAGACGGCGCAGUCUGCAGCCUGUGUGCACCCGGUGAACCGAGCGGGAUGUCUGCGGGGAAACACACAUCGAGAGCGGGGAAACAGAUUUCUCCUGGCCAGGUAGCCGCUCACGGAGGCUGUCUCGUAGCAAGCAGACCUUUUUCUACUCAUCCAGCUACAAAUAUCGCUUUGUGCGUUUUUAGUUUUUUUGCUGGACACAAUAGAAGACGCCGUAUAGAAGAUAUAAAAACCUGCAGACUUGGAGUCGGACACCGCGGAGGACGAGACCAUGCAACUUGAAUUGAGAUGCGGCGCAAAGAGGCACCCGAGUAGACGUGGAACCACCGGACUCAAGAUACUGCAAUGCAGAGAGGAUAUGUGGACAUACUGUGUGCAACUACAGAGGGAUCCGGCACAAUGAACGAGGGAGAAGUCAGCGCUUUCCCACCGGAUAGCCGAUAUCUGCAGUGUGUACCAGGCGCCUACAAAGUCUCAGUGGCCUCAUUAUUUGGGAAUUACAAUACAAUCAAGGCGGAGGAAACCUGAGAGGAGGCGCCGACAGAAGGCAGUCACCUGAGGCCGCGGAGGAGAGACAUCCAGGAAGUAUUCUUGAAUUGGCGAUAAAAAAUACGGAAGAAGAGACGCACAGUUCCCUCUACUCUUACAUCAAGUUGGAUAAUUUAGAAAGUAAUUAAACUUAAUUAAAAAAGCAAUAUUAAUAAACAAGCUUUUUUCUAAAAUUCAGUUUAAAAUCCUGUAAAACCCCUAUGAGACAGGUUUGUUUUGAUGAACCUAUAGCUAAAAAGAAGAUCUCAUAGUAGUUGUGUAUAAUUAAAUGGGUUCCUACUCGGCCCAUGCUACACCCCACCACCAAAUUCCUGAAAAUCAAGCCAGUAGUUUUUCCCGUAAUCCUGCUGACAAACACACAGGCCAAACCAGAGCAAAACCAUAAGCUGCUCUGCGGAGGUAAUAAUUCACGAGCAUGUGGAUUUAGUCCUGACAAGAUAAUCUCUACUCAAAUGCCCACUUAGUAGCUUUUUCUGACUGCAGCUCACAGGCCCUAUCAGCGGGGAUCUACUUCAUAUUUUCUCCCUUUGAAAAAAAGGUUUAUUUUUGAGACCUUUUGAAUGUGUAUUCCUGCAGGUGGACCACCAGCAGGAGACGAGCGGUCCUUUGGGGUGAGGUAGUAGGUUGUAUAGUUUUAGGGUCAAUCCCGAGCUGUAAGAUGACUAUACAACUUACUGUCUUUCCUGAAGCGGCCGUGAAGGCAGCAUCCAUCAUCAUCAUCAUCAUCGGGAAUCUCAUGAAGGAAAAUGGGAAAAAAUGAUCAGUUUUUAUAACUAAAUGAUAAGGUAGAUAAUAGGGUGUAAAAUAGGUUGUGUUAGGAGGAAUAUGUACCUCAUGUUUGUAUUGUACAAUUAGCAUUUACUCUAUCAGAAAUAUAGACUUUUUUUUUGAGUUUUUAUCCAUGUUUUUGUUUAUUAAAAUGUAAGAUUAGGACUCUGUUACUUUAAAUGUGGUCGUGAUUAUUUGAAAUGUGUGAACAAAAUACGUCCAUUAGCGUGACGUGUCAUUUAAACCAAUCACUAGCCUCGCUGUAUUUACGUGAAAGCAGCUCAGGAGUGUGUCUUUGUUUACCCGGUGACCUGGUGUGACUCAUGGUGUUCGUACAGGGUGAGGUAGUAGGUUGUGUGGUUUCAGGGUUGUGAUUUUACCCCAUCAGGAGCUAACUAUACAACCUACUGCCUUCCUUGGAGGGCAGCAGUACAUCACAGCAGACUCUCGCUCAAAGCCGUUUGAUUCUUAAGGUUUCAGUGAACGGGUGAGUAAGGCCAUAUCACAAGAUGAACUUACAUGAGUUACUUUAUAAAUCUGUAACCCUGAAAAGUGUUUUAUCUAGUACUGUUUCAUAAAUAAAUAAAGAUUGGGUAAGAAAUCGUAUACAAAUGAAAAA